AAGAUCAUGAGUUCUACAGUCAGACAGCCUGAGUUGGAGGCUCAUCUUCACUUCUUGCUGUGUGACCCUGGGCCAGUGACUU
ensembl:miRNA MIR3168 microRNA 3168